GUUUCUAGGGUGUCUCUGCACAUUAGAUUUUCAUUCUAAAAGGGUGGUUCAUUCCACUAGAAAUA
rnacentral:tRNA from 1 species